rnacentral:tRNA from 1 species
AGGAUAAUAGUUAAUAAUAACAUUUAAGUUGCAUUUAAAAAGUAUUGGAAUUACCAAUUUAUCUUA